AGGAAACCCCGACUCCCGGGCAGUCUCUGUGGCAGGAGUUCCCCACAGCUGUGAACUCUUCAAGUCCAUUUGCUGCUGCAGCUCCUCUGGUAGCGAAGAAGGAAAAUCGCUGGAAUGGUUUCACAAAAGCAUCUUGCGGUAGCCAACACCCUUGGCUGUGUGAAUUUUGGCUGAGAUGGUGAGGAGUGUUGCCACCCAAGUAUGAUUCCACCGCCAACUCCAUCGAUGUUUCACACUGAGAAUGGUGGGGCUAAAAUGAAUGGAAACAAAUAAAGCACAACACAGGAACAGUGAGGAAGUAGAUGAAACCUGGUCAUGAGGAUAUGAAUUAUUAUUGAACUCAGCAAAAGUAUAUGCAAGUGAAUGUUUGGAGUAUGGAAAUAAUUCAAGGAACAUAAAUUGAU
rnacentral:lncRNA from 1 species